rnacentral:rRNA from 1 species
UACGUAGGUGACAAGCGUUGUCCGGAUUUACUGGGCGUAAAGAGCGCGCAGGCGGUCGAUCAAGUCGAGUGUGAAAGCCCCCGGCUCAACUGGGGAGGGUCAUUCGAUACUGAUCGACUCGAAGGCGGGAGAGGGUAGUGGAAUUCCCGGUGUAGUGGUGAAAUGCGUAGAUAUCGGGAGGAACACCCGGUGGCGAAGGCGGCGACCUGGU